UACGUAGGGUGCAAGCGUUAAUCGGAAUUACUGGGCGUAAAGCGUGCGCAGGCGGUUGUGCAAGACAGAUGUGAAAUCCCCGGGCUCAACCUGGGAAUUGCAUUUGUGACUGCACGGCUAGAGUGUGUCAGAGGGGGGUAGAAUUCCACGUGUAGCAGUGAAAUGCGUAGAGAUGUGGAGGAAUACCGAUGGCGAAGGCAGCCCCCUGGGAUAACACUGAGGCUCAUGCACGAAAGCGUGGGGAGCAAACAGG
rnacentral:rRNA from 1 species